UACGUAGGGCGCAAGCGUUAUCCGGAAUUAUUGGGCGUAAAGAGCUCGUAGGCGGUUUGUCGCGUCUGCCGUGAAAGUCCGGGGCUCAACUCCGGAUCUGCGGUGGGUACGGGCAGACUAGAGUGAUGUAGGGGAGACUGGAAUUCCGGGUGCAGUGGUGAAAUGCGUAGAGAUCCGGAGGAACACCAGUGGCGAAGGCGGCUCGCUGGGCUCUACCUGACGCUGAGGCGCGAAAGCGUGGGGAGCGAACCGG
rnacentral:rRNA from 1 species